rnacentral:rRNA from 1 species
CCCUUAGAUGUUCUGGGCUGCACGCGCGCUACACUGAUGCGUUCAACGAGUUUACGGCCUUGCCCGAUAGGGUUGGGUAAUCUUCUUAAAACGCAUCGUGAUGGGGAUAGAUUAUUGCAAUUAUUAAUUUUCAACGAGGAAUUCCUAGUAAGUGCGAGUCAUCAGCUCGUACUGAUUACGUCCCUGCCCUUUGUACACACCGCCCGUCGCUACUACCGAUUGAACGGUUUAGUGAGGGCCUCGGAUUGGUCUCGGCCCGCUCUUUACCGGGCGGCGCCGUUGGUCGAGAAGACGCUCGAACUUGAUCGUUUAGAGGAAGUAAAAGUCGUAACA